GGCAGCAGAAAUGAAGGGGAUGGUCCUUUUAUUGGAGGGGUACAGCGAGGCAGCAGUCUCCCCAGAGGGUCUGGUGGCAAAUAAAGAUGAACAUGUUCAACUGAUGGAUGAGAAGCACAUCCAGGCCCAGGAUUCCUUCUACUACUCUGGGACUCAAGCAGAUACAUGGCUUCUGUUCUUGAGGAAAUUGAGAAUGUAGAAGGAUGCAAACAUUCUAGACAUAAGCAUGAACCCAUUGACCCAACAAGUACAUGUUGAACACCUACAGUAUGCUAGACAGGCCCAGGUAAAUGGCUUGGCCCUGAAGACAUAGGUGAUAUUUUCAGAAUAAAAUUCUUCUCCCUUUCUCUUGUUUCCUUAACACUGGUAGUCAAACCAUUGACUGAUCAGUAUGUGCAGGUCCAUGAGCUUUCUGAAUGUAACCAUUGUAUUCCCCAGUCUACCCAAGUGAUGAGGAAAUAACAAGUUUUGGGUCUGAUUCCCAGAAUUCUUGAUAGAAAUAUACAAACGAGCCUCUUAAAUCUCUUCUUGCACAUGGAAAGCAAGCUAGCCAAGGAGAGACUUUCAUGGGUCAUUAGGUACCGUCCUGCUGCUCAAUGUACUUUUAAA
rnacentral:lncRNA from 1 species